rnacentral:ncRNA from 1 species
AGAUAGAGGCGCACUGCAUCAGGAGUAACCGCGGGGUUUCGACCGACGAGGGUUUUGCCGCGGGAAAGGGAUGGGUGCCGAAGUGUCCGGUGGCUCGAUCACCCGGAUGGCUGGUCGUACGGAUAAGAUCCGUCCGACUGUCGCGUUUCGCGGAGGGCUAUCGGUU